rnacentral:rRNA from 1 species
CAGAGCCGCGGUAAUACGAAGGGUGCAAGCGUUAAUCGGAAUUACUGGGCGUAAAGCGUGCGUAGGCGGUGAGUUAAGUCUGCUGUGAAAUCCCCGGGCUCAACCUGGGAAUGGCAGUGGAUACUGGCUCGCUAGAGUGUGUCAGAGGAUGGUGGAAUUCCCGGUGUAGCGGUGAAAUGCGUAGAGAUCGGGAGGAACAUCAGUGGCGAAGGCGGCCAUCUGGGACAACACUGACGCUGAGGCACGAAAGCGUGGGGAGCAAACAGGAUUAGAUACCCGGGUAGUCCCUGUCUCUUAUACC